UACGUAGGCAGCAAGCGUUGUUCGGAGUUACUGGGCGUAAAGAGUGCGUAGGCGGUCCUGUAAGUUUGGUGUGAAAUCUCCCCGGCUCAACUGGGAGGGUGCGCCGAAGACUGCAGGGCUUGAGUAUGGGAGAGGUAAGCGGAAUUCCUGGUGUAGCGGUGAAAUGCGUAGAUAUCAGGAGGAACACCUGUGGGUGUAGACCAG
rnacentral:rRNA from 1 species